UACGAAGGGGGCUAGCGUUGCUCGGAAUCACUGGGCGUAAAGCGCACGUAGGCGGCUUUGCAAGUCGGAUGUGAAAUCCCUCGGCUUAACCAAGGAAGUGCAUCCGAAACUGCAGAGCUUGAGUACUUAAGAGGAUCGCGGAAUUCCCGGUGUAGAGGUGAAAUUCGUAGAUAUCGGGAGGAACACCAGUGGCGAAGGCGGCGAUCUGGGAAGAUACUGACGCUGAGGUGCGAAAGCUAGGGUAGCAAACGGG
rnacentral:rRNA from 1 species